CUCACCAAGAGAAGUAUGAAUGUUCUAAGCAAAGAACAAUGAGAGAAAACUCAAAAGAAGCAAAGGAAAAUCGAUGUGAUUUUAUUAAGGGGGAUCAUCACAUACUUAUAAGGUUUGUGAGUCAAAGAAACAUAAAGACAUUUGUGGGAAAAGACAACAUAGAAGAUAAAAAUUAAUGAAAACAAGACAUAGAAACUAGAAAUGAAGACUUUGCUAAAGACUGGUCAAGGUGCUGAUUCUUGUGUUGACUGGUCCAGAUUCACAAAGAUGUCCAGGUUCAUUCUGUGGCGAUCAGGUCAUCCGCGGUAAGGAGCAGGACGGAUGUAAGGCUGCCCGCAUGGUUGAUCAUCGAUGAUCCAUGCACGGAUGAAGAGAUAGCUCGACCCAAAUCUUCAGAGAGCUUAAGUAUCC
rnacentral:lncRNA from 1 species